rnacentral:rRNA from 1 species
UUUCUCCCUUCUGACGAACCAUGAUGUCAUUUAUUUGGUGUCGUGGGGAAUCAGGACUGUUACUUUGAAAAAAUUAGAGUGUUUAAAGCAGGCUCACGCUUGAAUACAUUAGCAUGGAAUAAUGAAAUAGGACGUUUGAUUCUAUUUUGUUGGUUUCUAGGAUCGACGUAAUGAUUAAUAGGGAUAGUUGGGGGCAUUAGUAUUCAAUUGUCAGAGGUGAAAUUCUUGGAUUUAUUGAAGACUAACUACUGCGAAAGCAUUUGCCAAGGAUGUUUUCAUUAAUCAAGAACGAAAGUUAGGGAAUCGAAGACAAUCAGAUACCGUCGUAGUCUUAACCAUAAACUAUGCCGACUAGGGAUCGGACGCAGUUAAUUUUAUAAUGACGUAUUCGGCACCUUACG